rnacentral:rRNA from 1 species
AGAACGAACGCUGGCGGCAUGCCUAACACAUGCAAGUCGAACGCUCUUGGGGCUUCGGUCUCAGGGGAGUGGCGCACGGGUGAGUAGCGCGUGGGAACCUGCCCUGUUGUGGGGGAUAACCGAGGGAAACUUCGGCUAAUACCGCAUAAGCCGGUUGUCUUGAAGGAGAUGGCCGGGAAAGAUUUAUCGCGACAGGAGGGGCCCGCGUCGGAUUAGCUAGUUGGUGGGGUAACGGCCCACCAAGGCGGUGAUCCGUAGCUGGUCUGAGAGGAUGAUCAGCCACACUGGGACUGAGACACGGCCCAGACUCCUACGGGAGGCAGCAGUGGGGAAUAUUGGACAAUGGGCGCAAGCCUGAUCCAGCAAUGCCGCGUGAGUGAUGAAGGCCUUAGGGUUGUAAAGCUCUUUCGCCCGCGACGAUGAUGACGGUAGCGGGAGAAGAAGCCCCGGCUAACUUCGCGCCAGCAGCCGCGGUAA